rnacentral:tRNA from 1 species
CCUUCGAUAGCUCAGUUGGUAGAGCGGAGGACUGUAGAGCAACAACACUGUUAUCCUUAGGUCGCUGGUUCGAAUCCGGCUCGAAGGA